GCGCCGCGCAAGGCCAUUCAUGAGGGUAUUUUUGAGAGCUCCCAAUCCAUAUAUUGUUUCAUUAAUAGGUUCAUUGAGGAGCUAGACUUGAUCACCGAAAAUACUCGCCAGUCUACUAUUCUGAAUGCUAGCAAUCAGCGCCCUAGAGCUCCGCCGGUGGGCCAUGCAAAAAUACAUGUUGAUGCCGGAUGCCGUAAGGGAGUAGGGGGGACGACCGCAGCUAUUUCCAGAGAUGAAAAUGGUACAUUGUUAGGUAGCUCAACUUUUGUCAUCGGAGGUGUUCAUGAUCCAUCAAUCUUGGAGGUGAUAGCUUGUAGGGAGGCCCUAGCCCUUGCACAAGAUCUCAACUUACAUCAUUUUGUGGUAGCUUCGGAUGCAAAAGAGGUAGUCGAAACCAUCCUCAAAGAUGGAUGUGGCAAUAACGGAGCAAUUAUCAGCGAAAUCAAACUCCAAUCUUCUUCUUUUAGUUGUAACUUUACUUUUGAAGGUCAUGUAGUUAAUUAUGAGGCUCAUAGUUUAAAGUUUGCACUUUUUGUAGGUCCGGGAUGCCAUGUUUGGUUUGGCCAAUCCCAUGACCAAAUUUGUAUCCCGCAUUCUGUGGAUUUUGCUGAAUAA
rnacentral:rRNA from 1 species